GCACAUCACAUGGGGCACAUUUGCCAUUGCUGCACAGCGAGGUUUUCCUUUUCCAGGAGAGCUGCUUUCCCAAAGGAGGAGGGAUGGAAAUGAGGCCCUGGGAAUUUGUUUUGGCUUCUCUUCUGAUUUAUUGCAGGAUGUACAGCAAAUGAAUAACCUGUCUCGCUUGACUGUCCCAGGUUUCUGUCUCCCCUUGCAGGAUUGCUGUGCCCUUUUGCUGUGCCACAGCCUGCCUUUGUAGAGGCCAGGUCUCACAGGCUCUUUUCAUAUUUACACAUCUGUUGUGAGUGGCCACGUGGGACAAAGCACAGGGGCUGCUGCAGGAGUACACCUGAUGUGGGGAUGUGGAUCUGCUCCAGCAUCAGCUGCUCUGGGGGACCUGGCACCUCCUCUGCUUGAGUGUCACACAGUGCACGGGGAGGCUCUGCCAGAGCAGCCGAACCAGGAGCGGCGUCUGUGCGCUUUGUUUGUGACUGACACCUCUGCGAUGAAUGAUUGUCAUCUGCUAUAAAUGCUGACUUGUGCUCAGUCGCCACAUCAAACCAGUGAACUCAUGAGAAUCACAUGCCAGAGCACGUCACUGGUGCUCUGUGUGACCUCUGCAGCUGCCCCUGAGCUCCUGAGGCUCCCCCGGCCCGGCUCUUCCUCACCCCGGAACGCUGCCCGGCACCCUUCAAAGGGCAUCUUCUUAACUCAGCCUGACUGAAACUGAAAAGAGCCACUAGCAGGGCAGUUCCCACACGGGAGCAGAUUAAAGCUGACAGCUGGGAGAAGGGAGAGGAGCCGUUGGGUGGAAGUGAUGGGGAGAGGUGCGAGGGCCGGGAGUUCUCACCCCGUGAGCCUAGCAGGAGCUUUCUGGCUCAAAAUGCUUGCAAUGGCUGCAGGGGGUAUCAAAGAAAGGAGAGCCGUGAGACAGAUCAGCUUUCCAUUCACCAUUUUUGUCUUCCCGGUGCAAAUGGUCCCUUUGGAGGCUGCCAGGGACUGGAGUUUGGACAGCUGGAAGCAGCUGGCCAGUGGAAGAUGAAGAUGAGACAGCACUUCUGCUGACGGGCUGUAUGGAAAAGGCUUUUGUAGGGUAGAGCUAAG